rnacentral:lncRNA from 1 species
UGUGUCAAACUGACACAAGUUAGAGUCAUCAGAAAGAAAGAAGCUUCAAAUGAGAAAAACCCCUCCAUGAGAUCCAGCUAUAAGACCUUUUCUUAAUUAGUGGUCAAUGGGGGAGGGCCCCGCCCACAGUGGGUGGUGCCACCAGUGGCUGGUGGUCCUGGGUUCUAUAAGAAAGCAGGCUGAGCAAGCUAUGAGGAGCAAGCCAGCAACCAGCACCCCUCCAUGGCCUCUGCAUCAGAUCCUGCCCCCAGGUUCCUGUUGGAUUUGAGUUCCUGUCCUGACUUCUUUCAGUGAUGAAGUGACAGCUGAAUAAACCCUUUCCUCCCCGACUUGCUUUCUCGUCGUGUUUCGUUACAGCAAUAGAAACCCUGACUAAGACAGUGCUUGUUGUACUCUCCUUUCUCCAUUCCCUGCUGGGUGCCUUCGGGUGGCACUGUCCACGAGGACUGCUCCUGUCCUGAGUCCCAGUGUCCUCUGGGCUAUAAGCAAAAGGCCAUUUGGCUGACAUCUCAUAGAAGCCAACCAAUCAUCAAGUUUUAGUUCUCAACACAAUUAGACUCCCCUGGGAGUUUCAGUGAGGAACCUUGGCUGGGUCAGCCUAAAGACUUGCCUUUGAGGGAAUUUUUUAGUUUCAUUGAUUGAGGUGGGGAUAUACACCAUGAAUGCAGGUAGCACUAUUUCCUGGUCCAAGCCCUAGGUUAUAUAAAACUGGAAGAGCUGAGUGUUAGCACGCUCAGAUUCUGGGCUCUCCCAUCCUGACCGUGAAUGUGACAUGAUUCACACUCUGCCUCUGUGACUUGCUGGCUUUGGUGGAGUAUAAGCUGGAACUGUGAGUUAAAACAAGCCCUUUCCCUGUAGGUUGCUUUUGUUGGGGGUAUUUUCAUCUUUACUCACAGCAACAAAAAUGAAACUAGAAUAUCUACUUAUCAAGGGAGAAAACAGAAAUGUCAAAGUCACGGAAUGGGAAACUGGCAAAAUCAGACCUCUGAACUCAGACUUCUCUCUAGAUGCACCCUCACAGGCUCCGCUUCUCUAAGAGCAUCAAUGCUUCCAACCACGUCCAUGUCUGAUUAUAAAACUAUAAAAUGAGCAAGAGUUGCCAGCCCAGCCUGUGCUAUGCUGAACCAAGAAAGCUCAGAGCACUCUGGUCUCCUGCUGUUGAUUCUUAAGUCACUCUUACAUAGUUCACCCUGUGCCUCCCACAGGGAUGAAGGGACAUGGGAACACAGGGACAGGGGGACGCGGUGACACAGGCAGCAGAGAGCUGCCGAGCAUAUCAUAUGAAAGAGUACUGGCUGGAAACGGCUCUACAGUUUUUUUUUUCUUUCUCUUUAUUUGUAUCAAACCCAGGGAUCUCAAAUCGCCUUGGGCUCUUUGGGGAAUAAAGAGAUGGAGGCUGUAAUCAGUUUGCUCAUUCUGUGGAAUGAAACACACACAUGAGACUCUGAUAGGGGGCCAAUAAAACUUGAGGGGACCUCACCUCGGGGUGGCUGCGCAGGUAGUUCACGGCUUCUUCAAAGUACUCCAUGUGCAUGGUUUCCAUGUUCUUGGGGAGGUCAUCGUAGUUAGGCCACCUCCAACUCCAAAAAGGUCUAUGAUCCCAGGAAAGGGUCCAGGUUCUGGGGAGAAACCAAACCAAACCAAACUAA